ACAAACAUAACACUAACGGCCCCAUACUUUUCUGUUUGGAAACACCUAAGGGUUCUAGCAGCAGGCUGCUCAACAAACUCUAUCUCUCCAUCAACGAAUCAUUUAUUGGUUGACUACAAAAAAUUACAUGUUUAACGACGGAUUUUUAUCUAUUUCAACGGUGGAUAGUCUGGUAUUAGAAAUUCUAACGGCCGGGGAAAAAAAGCCACAUAAAAAAAAAAANNNNNNNNNNNNNAGAAUAAAUAAUGGUAAAUAAGCUAACGACAGAUUUUUAUCCGCUGUUAAGCUAACAACGAAUUUUAUCCGCGAUUAAAGCUAACAACGAAUUUUAUCCCCUGUUAGUUCAAAUUUUCGUCAAAUACUAAACAACACAGAAAUCUAGCUGGGUUUCUGCGUUCAUCGUUCGUCCUUCGUCUUCGUCGUUCUUCGUUCAUCGUUUACCAAUCGUUUUUUCUUCUUCUCUGAUUCCUCAAUUCUUCUUCUUAUUUUUGAUUCUUCGAUUCUUCUUCUUGUUUUUCAAUUCCUCUUCUUCUUUGAUUCUUCUUCAAUUCUUUUUCUUUUUUUAUUCUUCUCUUUCUUCUUUUUUUUUGAUUUUUCUUCGACUCUUCUUUUUCGUUUUUUUCGAUUUUUCUUUUUUUCUUCAAUUUGUCUUCUUUUUUUCUUCUUUUUCUUCUUUUUCUUUUUUGAGUUGAUUCUUCUUGAUUCUUCUUCUUCUUCUUGAUUCUUCUUUUCUUCUUCUUCUUCUUCUUCUUCUUCUUUUUCUUCUUCUUCUUCUUUUUUU
rnacentral:lncRNA from 1 species